rnacentral:rRNA from 1 species
UUUAUAUGAGAGUUUGAUCCUGGCUCAGGAUGAACGCUGGCGGCGUGCCUAAUACAUGCAAGUCGAACGAGUUCUCGUUGAUGAUCGGUGCUUGCACCGAGAUUCAACAUGGAACGAGUGGCGGACGGGUGAGUAACACGUGGGUAACCUGCCCUUAAGUGGGGGAUAACAUUUGGAAACAGAUGCUAAUACCGCAUAGAUCCAAGAACCGCAUGGUUCUUGGCUGAAAGAUGGCGUAAGCUAUCGCUUUUGGAUGGACCCGCGGCGUAUUAGCUAGUUGGUGAGGUAAUGGCUCACCAAGGCGAUGAUACGUAGCCGAACUGAGAGGUUGAUCGGCCACAUUGGGACUGAGACACGGCCCAAACUCCUACGGGAGGCAGCAGUAGGGAAUCUUCCACAAUGGACGCAAGUCUGAUGGAGCAACGCCGCGUGAGUGAAGAAGGCUUUCGGGUCGUAAAACUCUGUUGUUGGAGAAGAAUGGUCGGCAGAGUAACUGUUGUCGGCGUGACGGUAUCCAACCAGAAAGCCACGGCUAACUACGUGCCAGCAGCCGCGGUAAUACGUAGGUGGCAAGCGUUAUCCGGAUUUAUUGGGCGUAAAGCGAGCGCAGGCGGUUUUUUAAGUCUGAUGUGAAAGCCCUCGGCUUAACCGAGGAAGCGCAUCGGAAACUGGGAAACUUGAGUGCAGAAGAGGACAGUGGAACUCCAUGUGUAGCGGUGAAAUGCGUAGAUAUAUGGAAGAACACCAGUGGCGAAGGCGGCUGUCUGGUCUGUAACUGACGCUGAGGCUCGAAAGCAUGGGUAGCGAACAGGAUUAGAUACCCUGGUAGUCCAUGCCGUAAACGAUGAAUGCUAGGUGUUGGAGGGUUUCCGCCCUUCAGUGCCGCAGCUAACGCAUUAAGCAUUCCGCCUGGGGAGUACGACCGCAAGGUUGAAACUCAAAGGAAUUGACGGGGCCCGCACAAGCGGUGGAGCAUGUGGUUUAAUUCGAAGCAACGCGAAGAACCUUACCAGGUCUUGACAUCUUUUGAUCACCUGAGAGAUCAGGUUUCCCCUUCGGGGGCAAAAUGACAGGUGGUGCAUGGUUGUCGUCAGCUCGUGUCGUGAGAUGUUGGGUUAAGUCCCGCAACGAGCGCAACCCUUAUGACUAGUUGCCAGCAUUUAGUUGGGCACUCUAGUAAGACUGCCGGUGACAAACCGGAGGAAGGUGGGGAUGACGUCAAAUCAUCAUGCCCCUUAUGACCUGGGCUACACACGUGCUACAAUGGAUGGUACAACGAGUUGCGAGACCGCGAGGUCAAGCUAAUCUCUUAAAGCCAUUCUCAGUUCGGACUGUAGGCUGCAACUCGCCUACACGAAGUCGGAAUCGCUAGUAAUCGCGGAUCAGCACGCCGCGGUGAAUACGUUCCCGGGCCUUGUACACACCGCCCGUCACACCAUGAGAGUUUGUAACACCCGAAGCCGGUGGCGUAACCCUUUUAGGGAGCGAGCCGUCUAAGGUGGGACAAAUGAUUAGGGUGAAGUCGUAACAAGGUAGCCGUAGGAGAACCUGCGGCUGGAUCACCUCCUUUCUAAGGAA